rnacentral:rRNA from 1 species
GACGAACGCUGGCGGCGUGCCUAAUACAUGCAAGUAGAACGCAGUUUCGAACGGGUGAGUAACGCGUUGGUAACUGCCCCAUAGCGGGGGAUAAGUAUUGGAUACGAUAGCUAAUACCGCAUCCUGUGAGAUGGACCUUCGCUGUAUUAGCUAGUUGGUGAGGUAAAGGCUCACCAAGGCGACGAUACAUAGCCGACCUGAGAGGGAGAUCGGCGGCGCUGGGACUGAGAGACGUCCCAGAAUGGUACGGGAGGCAGCAGUAGGGAGUAUUCGGCGAUGGACGGAAGGCUGAGCGAGCAAGGCCGCGUGAGUGAAGAAGGGUGUCGGAUCGUAAAGCUCUGUUGUUAGAGAAGCGGUAACUAGCCAGAAAGGGACGGCUAACUACGUGCCAGCAGCCGCGGUAAUAC